rnacentral:sRNA from 1 species
UGCCCCGAUAGGCCGACGGGCCGAAAACCGGAACUCUCUCUCGCUUCCGGCUUCGGGGCAAUAAUAAAAAGCGAGG